GUGUUUGUGUGUGUGUGUAUCAGUAGGCCAGAGGAUAGCCUCAGAUGUCAUCCUCAGAAAUGUCUUCAACCUCCCUUGAGAAAAGGUGUCUCACUGAACUUUGAAUUCACCUGUUAGACUAGCCUGACUGGCCAGCAAGCCCCAGUGAUCCUUCUGCCUCUGCCUCCCCAGCCCUGGGAUUAACAAUGAAGUGCCACGGACGCCUGGCCUUUGAAUGUGGGUUCUCAGAUGAACUCUGGGACUCCUGGCUUUUUUUUUUAAAUGUGGAUCGUGAGCCCCUAAAUUAAUUUUGAGGCCCACUAAUGAGUUCUGUUUGGAGCACAAACCCUGUCCCAGAGCAGCAUAUGUCCACAAUUUUAUUCAGUCCCUUUGCAGUAGCAGCCUGAAUUCAAUUUCAUAGACAAUCAGAUUGUUUUAACCGAAUUUUCCAAUGUCUUAAGCUUUGCCACUUCUCUUUCUGAUUGCAUCCAAACCAGCCAUUAUUCAGCCCAGUGUCCUGCAGCCGAGACCCUUUAGUCUCAGAUACUUUGCAGUUUUUUCUCACUGGGGCCCAUGACCCAGUACUACUACCAUAUUAGGUAGCUAACUACAAGCACUUCUUUGCAGUUCAAACAUAGGCCGACUUUUGGGAAAUGGCAACGGACAUUGGUUGGGCUGAGGGCUUACAUAUCCUAGGCAAGUAUUCUACCACUUAGCUACCUUCAGGGCCCUUCCUAACUCAUCUUUUUUGAGGUCCCCAAGGUAAGUUAUUGUGCUGGGCAUGCUGGUACAGACCUCUAAUCCUAGCAUCCAGGAGGCAGAGGCAGGUAGAUCUCUGUGGGGUCUAGGUCAGCCAGGUCUACAAAGAGUUCCAGAUGAGCCAGGGAUACACAGUGAGAGCCUAUGUCAGUAAAAACAAAACAAAAACCGUCCUGUGUCCACACCCUUUAUAAUGUGUCCUUACCCCACCAUCAGAUUCUCUGUGUUUGGAGCUAUCUGGCAGCUUCUGGUUUUGUUUUCUUGGAACAUGACUCCCAGUAAAGACACACAGACAUGGAAAAUGACACAGUGGUUAAAGCACUCAUUGUACAAGCCUGAAGACCAGAGGUGAGGUCCCCUAAGCCCACAGACAUGCUGAGUGGCUUGUGAUUCGAGUCUCCAAGGGCAGAUCAGUCCCCAGAGCAAGCAGGCUAGCAAGACCAGCCAUAUCGAUGAGCUCUGGAUUUGAUUUAGAGAACCUGACUCAGUGAAUAAGUGAAGGAGAAAUGGACCAUGAUUCCUGACAUCAACCUCAGGCCUUCACAGACCUAUGCACAAGUAUACACACAGACAUGAAAAUUGAAGGGGGGUACACAGGCUAUGAUCAGGUAUGGUGGCAGCUCAUACCUCUAGUCCUAGCACUUCAGAGAUGUGGGCGACUACAUAUAUUUCAAAACAGCUUAGGCUUUAAAAAAAAACAAAACAAAAAACAAACUCAGGCUAGACUACUGAAAGAUUUGGGAAUGCAUAGACAAAAUCCCCAGCUUCUCUUCCAAGUUCCAGAUAAGAGUGAGGUCUCAGAUGCCCCAAUUCCACUGACCAACAGCUAAUGUCGUGCUUAGAGCCCCAGUGAGGCAAACAGAAUAACCACCCAACCCACCUUCAGAAUCUGAGAAACCAAAUACUAUUUCAGGCUAGUAAGAUCUGGGACAGCAUGUUAUCUAUGUACAUGUUGAAACAGCCACAGAUUUUGGUAUAAUUAUUCACUAGGACCUGAUACCUUUGCACAGCCCCCUGUAUAAAAAGUGUAGUACUUUUUGUUGUUUGGUUUUUGUCUUAAGACAGGAUUUCUCUAUAUAGCCCUGGCUGGCCUGGAACUUUUUCUGUAGUAGACCAGGCUGGCCUCACUCAGAGAUUUGCCUGCCUCUGCCUCCUGAGUGGUGGGAUAUUAGGCAUGUCCGGUAAAGUGUAAUACUUCUACCUGCAAUAGUCAGCAUUUGAGAUUUGUUUCCAGAUCCCUGCUUCCUCUGUUCUGUCCUCAAGGAAGGAGGGCGAUUUCACCCAUACAACCAUUUCAAGUUUCCCUUCAGGCGUGUGCCUCAUGUUCUCAGUCCCGUUCCUGAACUCUGCAUUCAGGAAAUUUGGGGUUUCCAACCUUCUGACCGGCACCAGUUCAGUUCCACUCAAUCUGCACAACCUUGAUUCUUCCCCAGGACCAGAGAAGGAGCUCUUACAGCGAAGGAAGCGGAAACACGUGGGCUUGUUCACAGGUGAACACAGGGUACCCCUCUCCACCACCACACAAUUUGGUGGUUCUGUCUUCCUAAGGCUGCAACCCCUUAAUUCAGUUCACGUUGUGGUGACCCGCCCCAACCACAAGAUUAAUUCAUUGCUACCUCAUAACUGUAAUUUUGCUACUGUUAUUAGUCGUAAUGUAAACACCUGAUAUGUAGGAUAUCUGACAUGUGACUCACAGGUUGAGAACCGCUGAAUCAUAGUCCAUAGGUGUGAGCAAGCAGUUUAGCCACUUGAAGUUUGUCCCCAUGUCUUCGAGUGGUAGCACUGAUAACCACUGCCAUAGGUCAGCAUGAGGAUGAAGUGAAGCCGUGUGGGUAAAAGGCUCAACUCGGUGUUUGCCUGAUCGGUUUGGGGACAGUUUACUCCCAAUAACACGGGACACAGAAAUGUCGCUGAUGAGCCCACUUCCUGGUGCAGUCACACUCAUAAGUGAUGCCCUCCUUUAUGUGGCGUGGAUUCAGUAGCUUCCUCCUGGUAAGUGCAGUGUGGCAGAGGUGACAGGCAAGGCGAACUCAUAAAGAACCCUAGAAAUUUAGCUUUGAUCACAGCCCUCAGGAAGGGGAGUCAGGAAAAUCAGAAAUUCAAAGGCAUCCUUGGGCUAGCUAGUAAGUUCUGACCAGCCUGGGCUCUAUGAGACACUAUCUCAAAAAACAAAACCACUUCAAGACGCGGCCUUGAUCUUCAGUCACCAGCUGCUGAGUCAUAAGGGCACUUAAGCAACUAUGGAGAAUGCCACAGAAAUGAAGCUGGCCAAGAACCACGGGAGUGAACUUGGAAUCAGAUCUGCUAAGGCCUGCCAGGAGAUGCAUACUCAUUAGAAGAAAGCUUUCCAGUCAGGGCAGAGCCUUGAGAAUCUAGGCUGGGUGUGUGAUAACAAGCACACGAAAGCCCAGAAACAGACAUUCAUCUAAGCUGACCUCAGACUCCUGACAAUAGAAACGGAGCUUCCUCGCACUGGAAAUAUCGUGCCUGGCUCAGGAAGGAUCCCUUUGGGAAGAUCUGCAAAACAUUUAGAUGAAUAAGAUGAGUUCCUGCAACACCUGUGCUGGUCCACGGGCUUCUUAAAAGCUUUAUACCCACAGAGCACAGUAGCCUUUAACUAUGUGCAGUGGAGUCCAAGAUGGAGUCCAGGCUUCUCAAAAGGUUGCUGCCAGGAAGCAGGUUGAGAACACAGCAGCAAACUUGACGGUCCUUCAUGAAGGAUGAAGAGCUGGCUACAGAGCCCAGAGGGUGCAGGCAAGGUCUGGAAAGAACCAUCCUCAGAACUCAAACCCGUGGUAUGUGCAUUCUGUGCAUAGAGUACUGAUGGGGUCCCUCAGCUGUCUUGACGUUGGAGUUUGCCACUGCAGACUCAACUCAUGCCUGCUGUGCGCCCGCUGGCUGGCUCGUAUACAACCUGAAGACAUCUGCUGUUGACCUCCUCCCCCACUGUGGACUGUGCCUCCAGCCACUCCCCUGAGUCAAGACCUGCGGGACGCCCUGAGUUUCCACCUUCAGCCCUGCAGCCGGGUUCCCUUUGACAUCCUCCUAGACUUUGCACGGACUCUUUCUGACUCCUCCCUAAUUCCUUAUGUUAUUCAAAUGUCGUUGUAACCAGAGAUUCAGUAUGUUCUCUUGUAUAUAAUUGCUGAACCCCCCAAGUAAAAGAGAGCCUUGAUUG